UUAAUUAAUUAUUUACAAACAAAAUAAAUAGUUAAAAAAAUAUAUUUAUUUAUUUGUUAUAAAAAAAUAGCCGGUGUUUUGUUUUAUUUUAUAUUUUAUUGGUAUCGGACGACACCCGGAAUGGAAUGUUGUCGACUGAAAGCCGCUCGUAACAAAUGUCACACUGUACUGGGUUUAAACGUAACUGGGAGUAACGAGCAAGUGACAGUUGCAGCGUGGGCGUUGAUUGCACAUCAAGUCCAGCGGCAGACUGAACUCAUCCGGUGGCUGCGAGGCCGCAGCACCGUCGUCUAUCCAAUGCCUGUCGCACUCACUACAGUCAACUUCCCCUUCUUCUUCUUUUUCAAGCUGUGGCCGCCAUUACACCGUCAUGUCACCACUACUGUAUUAAAGCUCAUAUCACCACUCCUUUACUUGGAGCACCCUGUAGACUGUAGACUGUAGACUGGGCUGUAAAGCUGGUAUGGUGGUGGUGAUGGUGGUGGUGGUGUUAGUCCUGGUUGUGUUUAUGUAGAAUGAUUUGCACGUGUGCGCACGAGCCGGAGCUGCACCAGAGAAGGAGGCUCGGCAAGGAGUAAAGGACAGAGAGCCUUUACUUUACUGACUGGACCAGCCACCAGCCACCAGCCGGACCGGUGAAUGCGCUUUUUCGCUGCACGACCUCCGAGAUACGGAAAAAUCCAGUCCUUUUGCAUUUUAAUACUCAACUUGGGAUAUUAUACUGUACGAGCAUCGAUGCUAACAUACAGGAUUCGCUGGGAAUAAAACCAACCGGGUUUGUAGUACUCCGGCUAUCCAGACUGCCCAGUCACGAUCACGGUCAUAUAAUCAUGUAGGAUACUAGGUUUUUUUGGAUUGUCCGUGGCGAAGAAUUUUGGAGCAAUGGAUUUUGAUACAAAAUUAGAAUUAAUUAAAAAAUAUAUUUAUUUUUGGUUUUGUAAUGGGCAUACAUUUGAAUAUAUAU